rnacentral:lncRNA from 1 species
CCCGUUUCUACUAAAACAUACAAAAAAUUAGCCGGGCGUGGUGGCGGGCGCCUGUAGACAGAUGGAGACUCCGUCUCAAAAAUAAUAAUAAUAAUAAUUAAAAAAAUAAAAAAUAAAAACACUGGGAAAUAGUAAGAUUAAUAGCAUGGGAAUGGAUUAUGAAGAUCCAUUCCUUCACUCAACUAAUUUGGCAGCAUCCAUUAUGCUUCAGGUCCUCUGCCAGGAUCUAGGAAUACAAGACCAAUAAUCCUACUACUGCCUCAUCCUGUAAUUAAUAUUCAUAAUAAUGAUCUUAACUUGUUGAAAAAAUAUUAAAUUACAUUAGGUAAGUUUUAUUUCAAAAGACGGAGAAGUACAGAGACAACAAGUUGACUUACGGUGUUAAAAGUCAAGUUAAUGGUUAUGCUUGGUAGAAAUGGGGGAUGGGUAGUGAAAGGAGGGACCACAAAAGAGGCUUUUGAGAAUCUGGCAGUGUGUUUCUUGACUGUGUGUGGGUUACAGGAGUGUACG